UACGUAGGGGGCUAGCGUUGUUCGGAUUCAUUGGGCGUAAAGGGUGCGUAGGCGGCGCGGUAAGUCGGAUGUGAAAUCCCGGAGCUUAACUUCGAAACUGCAUUCGAUACUGCCGUGCUUGAGGACUGGAGAGGAGACUGGAAUUUACGGUGUAGCGGUGAAAUGCGUAGAUAUCGUAAGGAAGACCAGUGGCGAAGGCGGGUCUCUGGACAGUUCCUGACGCUGAGGCACGAAGGUCAGGGGAGCAAACGGG
rnacentral:rRNA from 1 species